CGGUACAUCACCAUAGACUGUAAAAAUAACUAACUCAUAAAUUUGGACUAUACUGACCUAAAAACUAAAGAUUCAAAAAGAUGAUUCCACCAGCCGAAUCUCUCCUCAAAUACGACAAUCCAGUUUUGAUCAGGAAAAGCACUGACAGAAAAUCACCAAAGGGGCGCCCUUUAAAAGUGAGUCCACAGCAGGUGGGGGAACAGCCUACCCCUGUUCCACCACCUCCAAAAUCAAAACCCACCUCUACUGACACCGCCAAGCAGGAAGACGAGGAGAUCCUAAACGCCAU